AGAGUUUGAUCCUGGCUCAGGAUGAACGCUAGCUACAGGCUUAACACAUGCAAGUCGAGGGGCAGCAUGGUCUUAGCUUGCUAAGGCCGAUGGCGACCGGCGCACGGGUGAGUAACGCGUAUCCAACCUGCCUUACACUCUUGGACAGCCUUCUGAAAGGGAGAUUAAUACAGGAUGUUAUCAUGAGUAAGCAUUUUCGCAUGAUUAAAGGUUACCGGUGUAAGAUGGGGAUGCGUUCCAUUAGAUAGUAGGCGGGGUAACGGCCACCUAGUCUUCGAUGGAUAGGGGUUCUGAGAGGAAGGUCCCCCANAUUGGAACUGAGACACGGUCCAAACUCCUACGGGAGGCA
rnacentral:rRNA from 1 species